GCCAGUGUGGUGUAGUGGUUUCGGCACUGGACUAAAACUCUGGAGGCCGGGCUUCAAAUCCAUGCUCAGCCA